rnacentral:lncRNA from 1 species
UGAAUGAAACAAGACAUCAAGCAUAAAUUCUAUAUGAUUCUAUUUACAUGGAAUUUAAGAACAGGCAAAACUAAUAGGUUAGCUUUCAGGGGCAAGUAUUGACUGGGAAGGGCACAUGGAGCCUUCUGGUAUACUGCAAAUAUUUUCCAUCUCAAUCUGGGCAGUAGUUAAAUGGUUAUAUGUCUAUGUAAAAAUUCAUCAAGCUGUAUACAUAAGAGUCUUAAGAUUUGUGCACUUUAUUAUUUGUAGACUAUAUCUACUAGAAGAGAAAAAAAAAAGUCUUGAGAAGAGACAUAAGCAUUUUGGGGUCAGCCUCACCUUUCCAUCUGCCUUUUCCAACAAAGGGAUGGAGACGGAGGCCAAAUGAGCACCAUCCAAGUCAGCUCCUUCUGAAACAGAGACAAAAAUAACUACAUCUCAAGUAUAAGAACAUACUUUCCCCUUUUUUUUUUUGGGAAAGGCACAGGCUUUUUUCACAUUACCAGCCAGAGGGAAUCUUUCUCAAACUUUCCAUAGAGAUUCUCCCUUGAGCAGGCACCAAACAUGGACAUUUUCUACCAGAGAAAAACAUGCUGGGGAGUUAUAAGCCUCUGGAACGAAAGCGUUGGGAAGGAAAUGAUGUAGAUCCCCCUCCCUCACCUGGGCUCCUCCCAGUCCUCCUGGAGCCAUGUUCCAGUGGCUAUAUGUUGUCAUCAGGAGAGUGCUAAUCAGAGGGACUGCAAGGAUGGAAGACAAGGGCAGGAGAGUGGACUGGGUCAGACAGUUGCCAGGGUCCAGUCCACACUGAGCACUGGGCCUUUCCCAUCUGGUGGGAAGAAAGGUUUUGAUUCUUCAUCCCUCAUACAAAUGGAAGGAAGUCACAGACAGCUUAAAAAAAAAAAAGGUGUUUAAAGCAAUGUAUACAUUGUGGACAGUGAACGAAGCAUCUCAAUUCUGUGUGGGUCUGUCCAUAUAAAGAUGAAGGAGCCUCAUUUUCCAGCUGCACUGCCUCCCUCCUCUCUCCUAGCUCCUCUUUCCUCCUGUCAUCUCUUUGUCCAGCUUCUUCAUUUUCCUUCUCAUCAUCUGAAAGCCUUGAGAACAAAUUUUUAGGAAGUACCUGUGUAGGGCAGGGUACUUGACAACUUUACCAGGAAGGUGUUAUUUUUCAGGUGAGGACACCAGCUUUAGGGGAGUGAAGUGAUUAGCUUGAGGUCAUGCACCUAAGAGAUGUCAGAGCCAGGGUUUGCAUCUAGGCUGGUGAGACUCUGUGUGGGCUCUGUCAUGGGGUUCAGUUGCCUUAAGUCUCCUUUUCUUGAGAAAGACAUUGCUGGAUUGUUAUAUCCUAUCCUGUCUCUCAAGAUAAGCAACAUUUUAGUAAAAGAUAUUAUUUUAUUUUAUUUGCUUUUUAGGGCCGUACCCAAGGCAUAUGGAAGUUCCCGGGCUAGGGGUCAAAUCGGAGCUACAGCUGCUGGCCUGUGCCACAGCCACAGCAACUGUGGGAUCCAAGGCGCAUCUGCAACCUACGCCACAGCUCAUGGCAAUGCCGGAUCCCUGACCCACUGAAUGAGGCCAGGGAUCAAACUUGCACCUCAUGGAUUCUAUUUGGAUUCGUUUCCACUACGCCACAAAGGGAACACCCUGAAAUACUUUUAAAAAUGAAAAUUAAUACAAAAUCUGUGAUGAAAAAUGUAAAUCUUUUGAAUAAAGACAGGAUCAGUGUUAGCAGUUUUUCAUUUUGCUUGGGCUCUAAUGUGACACCAUGUUGACUUAUUCCUCGGGUCCUUAUUUGGGCCCGUUGCUCUCCUUUGCCCAUGUUCUUGUCCCUUGCUCCUUCGGAUGGAUAAUAUUGUAUGCCCCCACCUUUCAUCUCAGUGUGAGUAACUCCAAAUUCUACUUUCUCCCAGGGCUCAAGGAGGAGAAGCCUUUUGUUUCUUCAAGCUUCUGUUCACUUCAGGAGUUUGGGGUACAUGUCUUGUGUUUCCACUGACCUUUUGGAAAGCUCCCCCUGAACUCUGGUGACCUAAAGUCAACUUUUCCUCAACUAAGCUCACCCUUCCUCCCAUCCUGUCCUCAGGUCUGCUCCUGACAAUGUCAGCAGCAGCCUUCUAGUCACCCGGCUCUCCCCUCAUUCCUAUUUCCAACAGCCAAUCUGCUGCCCACCCUUGUUUAUUAUCAAGUACCUCCUACAACUGCCCUUUCUUAUCCAAAAGCCCAGACAGACUAUGCCUGAACUGGCACUUGCUUGGGGUGGGAAGGCACAGAAGCAAGAACUUAAGCAUAAUCAUUUGUCUGAGGACCAGAGCUGUAGUGAGGGGCGUAGAAAGGGAUGGGCUUACUUAGAUCUGUGCAGACAGGGCAAGCAGAGGUUGGAGAAAGAACUAAGCACCACGUUGUUGAAAUAUCUUCUCAAUCUUUGAUUCCGUAAGGGAACAUAUAGGAUGUUCCAUGCUAUCUUCACUUGCUACAUGCUAGGGAGACAAAGAUUGAAAAUCAUUUCAGUUCUUGAGAAGCUCACAAUCUGGUGGGAAAGACAGACCCACAAAUAAACCCCACAGGAGCAUGCAGUUUGGGGUAACUGAGGAGGAAGUCACCAACUGAAGAUGAAAAGAUGGGCUAGGAAAGUUGCCCAGAGGAAAAGAUACUGAGCUGAACUUCAGUGUUGAAUGAAGGAGAUGAUUGAUGUCACUGGUGAUGAUGUUAGUCAUUAUGAAGAAGAUAGUGAAAAUCACCAAGGUGAUAAUUAUGCACAGGGAGACUCCAUCAAAAAGAUGGAGGUGAUAGGGCUGAGGAACGCAAACCACCUUGGUACCUCUGAUGUAAUGGAUUGGGCAGUGAUCCCAAACCAGUCCAGGAGGCCACACUGUGACUUCAGGUGUCUUUUCAUAGUCAUGGCUUAUGAUUCAAGAUAUAGUGUACCAGGAGUUCCCCUUGUGGCUCAGCAGUAAUGAACCCGACUAGUAUCCAUGAGGACAUGGGUUCAAUCCCUGGCCCUGCUCAGUGUGUUAAGGAUCCAGCAUUGCUGUGAGCUGUGGUGUAGGGUCGAAGAUUCGGCUGGGAUCUGUUGUUGCUGUGGCUGUGGCAGGCACAUCUGCUCUGUGUCCAGAGAGCUUGUGGAAGAUUAAAAAAGGAGCUGUACUUCCUAUGCCCUUCCAGUUCUAGAAUCACUGACCUUGGUAACUGGUAACUCUAGAGGGGCUUUCUCUCUCCCAAUUGGUCUGUCACAUGCUUGAAGUCUCCCGAUUAACACAUCAUUUCCUUAGCUUGUCUUGCAUCUCCAGAUGCAAGAGUUGGAAGGAUAUAUUAAGGCAUUAUUACUCCCAAACACCCCAGCAUAAGAGUUUAACAGCUUAUUGUCUCCUGGGUCACUGUAUUUUAAUACAAUGAAGGAAAACCAGCUUAAGAGUCUGGACCAUUUCUCAAUGAACAGGAUUGGGUGAGGAUGUGUUACAGAAGGGUUGGUAGCUUUGGGACCCCCAAAGCUUGAGGAUGAAGUCUGCAGGUGAUGGGAUCUGAGGAAGCCACUCUAGGACUCCCUGUUGCUAAUUAGAGUUGACCCUGGGAUAUAACUUCCUGAAGUAUUGAUCCAAAAUUACCCUCCUAGAACUUUGGUUGUUAUUACACCAUUGCCUGGGCCUCUUGCCUUCCACUACCACCUCCUCACCCGCUACCAGUUCCUCCCUGGGUACCUUGCUAAUAAGCUGUGUCCACAAGGGUUCUUAUCUCAGGAAAGUCUCAUCAUAAGGCAAUGGCUCUAACUCAUUCUCCUUUUUCUGGCUUCCUUCAGUCCAAAUCAUUUGGGUACCUGGCCCAUACUGUUUGGGCCAUGUCUAUGAGCCUUGCCUUCCUGGUUUUAGUGUAAGUUCUCUUGUCUCCCCUGGUUUGCCUGGCAGGCACUGGGACAUCCCUAGCACCACCCUUUGUCAGAGGUGGAAGGUCCAGGGGGUCUUUGAGACCAAAAGAGGAAACAGAGGCCCAGAAAAGCUAAAGGGCUUGUUGACUAAAUGAUACUUUCUCUUCUUCUCCCAACUGAGAUGUACAGGGAGACAUUUUGUCCCCAUGAUGAUCUGUUCUUGGUUUAUUGAGAUGAUGAUGAUGAUGAUGAUGGCUCUUGCUAUGUGGUUUCUUGAGGAGUCCCAGGCCUUUGGCGUGUGUAAUUAGGAAACUUCCCGAAGCCUUUCUAAGAGAGAGACCCUAUGUCCUGCAUUUCAGGCAAACUGCCUUCGGCUUAGAGAUAUAGAGUAGUGGGGAAGUCGAAGGGUAGCAAAGUGAAGGAGAAUCACAGAAGGGUUUGGAGUGGGGUUCAGUGGACACUUGAGCACUUUAUCCCAGCCUUGGGUUGAGGAGGGGGCAGAGAAUGCCUUAAUGAUCAACUAAAGCCUUAGUUGAACGUUGAAGGCAAACAGGAGUUUCCAAGGUAGGGAGAUAGGCAAUUCCCUUCACAUUCAGUGUACAACCAACAUCUGAUGUAAAGAUGAUACUUUUUUAUUUGGAAAGACAUUUUUUUCAUAGAGGUAUAGGAACAGAGUUUGGAGUCAAAUGGGAUUUAAAUCUUGGCUCCAUCACUUUCUUUGCGACUCUGAGCAAGUCCAUUAUACUUUCCAAACCUCAAUACCGUCAUCUGUAAGUUAUGACAAUGAGUCCCACUUCACUGGAUGAUCAUCAAACUCAAAUGAGGCAAAUUAAUUCUUGAUGUGUAUGUGCAGAACCCUUGAGAAAUGGUUGUUGUGGUGUUCACAUAGAGAACUUUUAACUUUCAUCAUUACCAUAUGAAUAUUGAUUAUUCUCUCACUGUGUUCAAGUGUUGAAUGAACCUCAUCUUGUCUUGUGCAUCCUCAUUUAAGAGGACAGGAGAUAACACUGUCCAGAACUAGAAACUCUGAGAGGGUAAGGGACCUGCCCAUUCCUAUCUUAGGUUGAGUUCUCCAAGAAGCAGGCAUUCAGGUGAAGAUAGGAGUGUAAGCACUUUACUUGGGUGGUGAUCCCAGCAAACACUGGCUGGAGAGCAGGAAGUAAGGCAGGCAAGGGAAGUCAGUCCGUGGAGGAUGUGUGUUCAAUCCAUUUACCACCGUAGGCAGCUGGAGCUCUCUCCCACCAGGAGUGCAGUGUAAAGUAAACAUCUCAGGAUAGAAAGCCCAGAAUUAAACCCACACACCUACAGUCAACUAAUUUAUGACAAAGGAGGCAAGAAUAUACAAAGGAGAAAAGACAGCUCCUUCAAUAAGUGGUUAUGGGAAAAGUGGACAGCCACAUGUAAAAGAAUGAAAUUAAACACCUCAUAACACCAUGCACAAAAAUAAACUCAAAAUGGAAUAAGGACCUAAAUAUAAGACCAAAUACUAUAAAACUCUUAGAGGAAAACAUAGGCCAAACAAUCUCCGACAUAAACCACAGCAAUAUCUUCUCAGAUCCACUUCCUAGAGUAAUGACAAUAAAAGCAAAAAUAAACAAAUGGACUUAAUUAAACUUAAAAGUUUCUGCAUAGCAAAGGAAACCCUAAUCAUAACGAAAAGACAACCCACAGAAUGGGAGAAAAUAUUUGCAAAUGAAGCAACUGACAAGGGACUAAUCUCCAAAAUUUAUAAACACAUCCUGCAGCACAAUACCAAAAAACAAACAAACAAACAAACAACCCCAUCAAAAAAGUGGGCAAAAGACAAUUCUCUAAGGAAAACAUACAGAUGG